rnacentral:lncRNA from 10 species
CUUUAUUUUGCAGAUGUAACUAGCUUAAGUAGAGCUAAAAGUUAUGUAGCUAGAAAGCUGACUUACACCCUUAAAGCUAAUGAAGAGAAAUGCAGGUUUCCCAGGGUAGGUUCUUGGCACUUCUUUGCAAAUAGGUAAAAGGGAAUGGCAGAUAUUCAAGCUCAGGGAGCAAGCAGCAAGGACAGAGCCUUCCCCCCUCUCUGUGUGUUGAAGUCAGCAGAUAGCACACCUGCUGCUGCGUGAGUUCCUUCUGCCAAGCAGAGCAGCACAGCUGCAAGACGCUCUGCUUCUGGCUCUGAGCUUUGCCUGUCUUCAGGGAUGAGGCCCCUCCCAAGGCAAGUUCAACUGGGUUCUUUGGCAGCCGAAGUCUACAUGGACCCUGCAGGGAGCGGUGGAGAAAAGUAUAUUGAUCACGAGGAGAGGGUUCGCCCCUCACGGGAGAAGUAGUUAGGAAGGCAAUAUGUGGAAACAAAGCCAUGAAUCUGACAUGAAAUGUGCUUAAGGUGCCCACUUUGAUGACUUGUUGUACUAGCGCCUUUGAUCUCCAUCAUAGAAAAUGCUCUGCUCCAUUUCAAAAGAGAUUGUCAUAUACGCCAUUUGCCAUUCACUGUUCUUUGGAUCAAACCAACAGCAGACCUCACAGAUAGAAUUCCACCGCUGGCCAUUCACAAAGAGGAUGAACCUAACCAGUUGGCAGUGCCUCAUACUCUGUGAUGGAUUUUCCGAAGCCCAAAUGUACCAUCUUCUUGUCUUUUCAAAGAGAGCCACACAGGAAGGAAAACAAGAAAUUCAACUUUUAAGCUGGGCUAUUCAUGGCCUUUGCUAAAUCCUGGCAGAAUUUCACAGUUUUUCAUUACGAUUCAUCUCACUGAUUUCCUAAUGGAAUGAACUGGCCUUUUCAUUAAGGCCAUAGGAAAGUGGAGCUGAGUUACCCAAGUCAUUAAGUGUUGUUAUCUGAUGAGUGAAAAAAUGGAUUACUUUUCAAUGUGCAUUUGGGGAGCCGUGUGUGUGUGUGUGUGUGUGUGUGUGUGUGUGUGUUUCCACUAGAUUCCAUUUUGUGAAAAUUGGUUCAAGUGGAAGGAGAAGGUUAACCUUACAUGUUCUGUUCUGCUGAGAUAUUAUAUGGCUUUUGGCUCUGUGGGCAGGCAAAGAAAGAUUGGUGGGCUCAGGAAUCAGAAAUGCAGGGCUAACAGUCCUAUUUCUCACUUUCAAUAAAGCCUAACAUUUUACCUGCUCGAGAACAUUCUAUUCAUUUAAACAACUGGAGUGUUAUUUCAUUAGUUUCUUAGUUUUUCAGUUAAAGCAGACACAUGCACACAUCACACACAUAUGCAUGCACUGUUGUGUGUUUUUUUCUAUCACCCCUCCCUCCACAGAGAUAUCAAUUUGCAUAAGAGGAGAAAGCAAAUUCAUUUAAACCCCAUUCUAAAUUCAGCAUUAGAAAUGUAAUGAUCUGUAACACUGACCUUUUUAAAAUACUUUGUGGAUACACCAUUGAUUUUAUUUGUUCUAAAUUUACUUUAAAAUACCUGUUUUGUAAAUCACUAAAACUCACGUAUUUUAUUUACCUAUUUGGGAUAAUAUUAAACAUAAUCUUUGAGGGUGCUAUUUUUGUCUAUUAUAGUUUUAUUCUAUAACAUAGAUUGAACUGUUUUCAUAUCCAAUUCAUUUUCAUUAAAUUUUUAAAUGGUAGUGGUUUAGGCUUGGGAUUAGAUAAUAUAUAGCCCAUUUGAUGUAACAUUAAAGCAUCUUUAUUAGAAGUAAAUAAUUUAUCACCCAGGUGCUUAGUUUACGGAGCACUAAAUAUUUACAUAUUUGAAUCAAAUGCUAAAUAAAAAUAUUUUAAUUUGCCAUCUUGUUAUUUUAGCAUUAUAUAAACACACUUGCAAAGAUUUUAAUGUUUAAUGUGAAUUAAACAUACCUGCACCUAACCUCUUAUCUUUCUACCAAUCCUUAAUAUGUAUAUAUCUGAAAUAGUAGUGUGUGGGGUGUGUGUGUGUAUGUGUGUGUUCAUGUGUGUGACAGACAGUGUAUUAUGUUUUUUGAAAUGCAGAGAUUAGGAUAAAGGAAAUCAUAAAUGCAAAAUAAAUUCUCUAGAAUAAUUGUAUGCAGUCAUUUGUCUAUACAAUUUUGUUAAGUUUGGCUCAUUCAUUUUUUUUGUCUCAUGCACAAAUCAAAGCAAAUAGUUAAAACAUGAAGUAUGUUCUUUCCUAAGUUGGAUUGUGGUUUACAAGCUAUUGAAACAACUGAGCAUUAUAAAUAUAGCCAGUCAAUUUGUUGGGGGCUAAAAAAAAAAAAGAAGGAAAAAAAGAAAAUUGAAAUUCUAUUUUAUCUCCAUGCAGCACAAUACAGAUCCACAACCAAAUUCAGGAUUUCUGAGCUUGUAAAAUAUGAACAGUAACUCUUUUCAUUCUAGCCUACCUAGAUCUAUAUUUUAAUCAACGUAAUAUUAGCAACCUGUGUAGAUGACAAUGAGAUGAAGAUGUGCAAAAAUAUACCCAACUGUUCCAUUUUGAAGAGUCAUAAUUAAUGAGAACACUUACAUUGGGGCAAUAGCAUAUGAAAUUAUAAGACUAUAUAAGUGUGACUAUAUUUUUUUGUUGUCAGACUGUGUCUACAUGAAUCCAAUUCAACCACCUAUACGAAAUAUUCCAAUGGCUACGUUAAUCUUUUUUAAAAAGAAACAAUGUAUCAGUCUUUUUGCCUUUGUAUAAAUAUAGCAUCUUAC